rnacentral:rRNA from 1 species
CGUAGUUGACGACGUGUGUUCAGUGAAAUCGAGUAGGGCGGGACACGUGAUAUCCUGUCUGAAUAUGGGGGGACCAUCCUCCAAGGCUAAAUACUACUGACUGACCGAUAGUGAACCAGUACCGUGAGGGAAAGGCGAAAAGAACCCCUGUGAGGGGAGUGAAAUAGAACCUGAAACCGUGUACGUACAAGCAGUAGGAGCAGGCUUUGUCCUGUGACUGCGUACCUUUUGUAUAAUGGGUCAGCGACUUAUAUUCAGUGGCAAGGUUAACCAUCUAGGGGAGCCGUAGGGAAACCGAGUCUUAACUGGGCGUUCAGUCUCUGGAUAUAGACCCGAAACCAGGUGAUCUAGCCAUGGGCAGGUUGAAGGUUGAGUAACAUCAACUGGAGGACCGAACCGACUAAUGUUGAAAAAUUAGCGGAUGACUUGUGGCUAGGGGUGAAAGGCCAAUCAAACCUGGAGAUAGCUGGUUCUCCCCGAAAGCUAUUUAGGUAGCGCCUCGGACGAAUACUACUGGGGGUAGAGCACUGUUAAGGCUAGGGGGUCAUCCCGACUUACCAACCCUUUGCAAACUCCGAAUACCAGUAAGUACUAUCCGGGAGACACACGGCGGGUGCUAACGUCCGUCGUGGAGAGGGAAACAACCCAGACCGCCAGCUAAGGUCCCAAAUUACUACUAAGUGGGAAACGAUGUGGGAAGGCUCAGACAGCCAGGAUGUUGGCUUAGAAGCAGCCAUCAUUUAAAGAAAGCGUAAUAGCUCACUGGUCGAGUCGGCCUGCGCGGAAGAUGUAACGGGGCUAAGUAG